GCAAACUUGGUCAUUUAGAGGAAGUAAAAGUCGUAACAAGGUCUCCGUAGGUGAACCUGCGGAGGGAUCAUUACCGAGCUCAUGCCCUCUGGGCAGAUCUCCCACCCACUGUUAUUAUUACGACCGUUGCUUUGGCGGGCCGCCGUGCCCGCCAGAGGCUCUGUAAACUCUGGAUGUUUGUGUCGUCUGAGUACUAUAUAAUAGUUAAAACUUUCAACAACGGAUCUCUUGGUUCUGGCAUCGAUGAAGAACGCAGC
rnacentral:misc_RNA from 1 species